GACCGCGUGGCCUAAUGGAU
rnacentral:ncRNA from 4 species